GUACGCAGUUGCGUUCAAAGUUUGUUUACUGGGCGUUGCGAACGUUUCGAUUAAGUUAUGAGAAAACUGAUCUGAUCUGAUCAAGUUUCAACCGCAAUUCUAAAAGUGUCAAUCAUUAUUACAGUAACGCCAUCUAUUUGUUUCACUUGUUUUAUUUUUUCACCAGUUCCCGGCUGCACCGUUUUUAUUCGCGGUUUUGACCUCGACUGCAAGAAUCAGAGCGGCGUGGCGCUGCGCCGCCCUGGUCCAGCUAAAAUAAGAACGACUUCUCGCCAUUUCCUAACGUGGCUACACCGGACCUGUCCUGGAGAGCAACCACGUCUCGCAGCAGCUGCUGUAGCAUAUCACGAGUGAAUCAAAAACCCUGGUCAGCUAUAGGUGACCAUUCAAGGCCGUCCCCUUUAUUAUUUCUGGGCUGGCUUCCAUUCCGACGGAGCGAGCGGUGGAGCGGGCGCGGUGGCCGAGUCCUUUUCCCACCACUUCAAUCACCACAACCCGUCGCUGUAGGCCGUCAAGGAGCUGAAGCGGCCUCGGGUGGCCGUCGAAGAAAACAAGUGCCUCCUACCUCCAACUACACGUGAUACGCCUACAGGUUGAGAGGGGCCCAGCAUUUGGUUUCCUGGCGAAGUGCCUAGUGACAGGAUUCCUGGUGUCGGGCGACGGGAGGGACCGGAUCGUCUGGAUUUCACGUUUGACUUUCAUCCGCCAGUUGACGGGGCACAACGCGCCGCUGGCGGCCAUCGUCAUCAACGACCUGACGGGCGACAUCGCCAGCCCCUGCUCCGGCACUUUGCUCCACCUCUGGUCCAUCAACAGUGACUCUCUGCUGGCCAGCGUACACACCCUUGGUCGGCCAGAUCGGCCGCUCGCAGCAGGCAGUUGACGAGUUCCCAACGAGGAAAGACCGGUACAAGUGACAACGGAAAAACUGGCCGAGGCUCCUAAACUCGUCAAGGAAUCGGAAGGAGAUUCCCUCGACGAAGCUGAGCUACUCUGCAGAGAGAGGCGCGGUCCGUCAGCAGUCUGCCCAUCAACUGCCAACACCAAGCAAGCAUGUGUAUGUGACAGCAGUAAACUAUUCCAGUUAUCUUUUCAAAAUCAAAUUCUUAAUACAUUUUUCUUACAAGUGGA